GACGAACGCUGGCGGCGUGCUUAACACAUGCAAGUCGAACGGAAAGGCCCUGCUUUUGUGGGGUGCUCGAGUGGCGAACGGGUGAGUAACACGUGAGUAACCUGCCCUUGACUUUGGGAUAACUUCAGGAAACUGGGGCUAAUACCGGAUAGGAGCUCCUGCUGCAUGGUGGGGGUUGGAAAGUUUCGGCGGUUGGGGAUGGACUCGCGGCUUAUCAGCUUGUUGGUGGGGUAGUGGCUUACCAAGGCUUUGACGGGUAGCCGGCCUGGGAGGGUGACCGGCCACAUUGGGACUGAGAUACGGCCCAGAAUCCUACGGGAGGCAGCAGUGGGGAAUAUUGCACAAUGGGCGGAAGCCUGAUGCAGCAACGCCGCGUGCGGGAUGACGGCCUUCGGGUUGUAAACCGCUUUCGCCUGUGACGAAGCGUGAGUGACGGUAAUGGGUAAAGAAGCACCGGCCAACUACGUG
rnacentral:rRNA from 1 species